AAUUGAGCAUCAUACUUCAUUGCAUCAGGCUAAAUUAAUAAAUGAAAUAUUAUUUUCUAUUCUUGUGUUGUAAUUAAGUACUCGGUACAAAAAUUACGUGUAGUUGAUAGUGUUGUGAUUUACGAAUAAUACACGAAACUUUUUUGCAGUUCGUCAUUUUGAGGAGGUGAACAAUUUUGAUGAAGUAAUACAAACAUUAAGUUUAAACGUUAAUACAUGCGUUGAUCCAUUAAGAACUUUUAUCACAAAAUAUCGGUCUGAUGAAAAUAGUAUGUAAA